GGUUUCUUUUAUUGAUACAAAUUUUAAAAUCAUAGUUGAGCUUCUUUUAUUGAUAUUAAUUUUUUACUUAUUUUUAUUUUUAUUUUUUAUAAUUACUGUAAUUUUCAAUUAAAUUACAAAUUUUAGGAUUAUUGUAAUUUUUUGAUUUUUCAGUUUUUCAUUACUAUUGUUUGGGCUAUAUUACUAAUUUAAGUUUAAGUAAUUUAAA
rnacentral:lncRNA from 1 species